rnacentral:rRNA from 1 species
UAGGGAAUUUUGGGCAAUGGGCGAAAGCCUGACCCAGCAACGCCGCGUGAAGGAUGAAGUAUUUCGGUAUGUAAACUUCGAAAGAAUAGGAAGAAUAAAUGACGGUACUAUUUAUAAGGUCCGGCUAACUACGUGCCAGCAGCCGCGGUAAUACGUAGGGACCAAGCGUUGUUCGGAUUUACUGGGCGUAAAGGGCGCGUAGGCGGCAAUUCAAGUCAUCUGUGAAAUCUCCGGGCUUAACUCGGAACGGUCAGAUGAUACUGCUUUGCUAGAGUGCAGAAGGGGCAAUCGGAAUUCUUGGUGUAGCGGUGAAAUGCGUAGAUAUCAAGAGGAACACCUGAGGUGAAGACGGGUUGCUGGGCUGACACUGACGCUGAGGCGCGAAAGCCAGGGGAGCAAACGGGAUUAGAUACCCCUGUAGUCCCUGAGCGGGCUGGCAAGGCGCAU